ACGACCUUACUUGAACAGGAUCUGUUCUAUAGGCUCGUACCAUUGUAUCCUUGAUUUCUAAAGAGAUAGGAAACCAAGUCUGGUGGAUGAAAUUUGGCCAUGAGACUAGAGCGUGACUAACGGCUUUGGUGUGGUCCUUUGGGCUUACUUGCGCGGUAGAUGAUCGUUCUCAGGCCUCUCGAGGGUCUGGGGUGGUCUCUUGGCUUUUUGACAGACU
rnacentral:snoRNA from 2 species